rnacentral:lncRNA from 1 species
GCUUUUCCCAAAGUGUCUCAAGCGGGCUGUGAGGUCCAAGAAACUCCUCCUGGAGCUUUUUCCUGCUUUGGAUUUCUUAUCAUUUUCACCAAACCGGGACUGAAUCUCCGCACCAUUCCACCAUUGAAGUGAGAUUUUUCCAACUGCCUAACUCUCUGAAAACACCCACCUGA